rnacentral:rRNA from 1 species
GAGAUGAGCAAGUCAAACACUGACGGAGAGUUUGAUCCUGGCUCAGGAUGAACGCUGGCGGCGUGCUUAACACAUGCAAGUCGAACGAUCGCAAGAUAGUGGCGCACGGGUGAGGAACACGUAGCUAACCUGCCUUUGGGUCUGGGAUAACGUCGCGAAAAGUGACGCUAAGACCGGAUAAGCUCCCGGGGUUGUAGAGACCAGAGAGAAAAGGGGCAAGACGCCCGAAGAGGGGGCUGCGGCGCAUCAGCUAGUUGGUGGGGUAAAGGCCUACCAAGGCAACGACGCGUAAGGGGUCUGAGAGGAUGAUCCCUCACACUGGGACUGAGACACGGCCCAGACUCCUACGGGAGGCAGCAGUGAGGAAUAUUGCACAAUGGGGGGGAACCCUGGAUGCAGCGACGCCGCGUGGGUGAUGACGGCCU